rnacentral:rRNA from 1 species
GAUGAACGCUGGCGGCGUGCCUAACACAUGCAAGUCGAGCGAUUUACUUCGGUAAAGAGCGGCGGACGGGUGAGUAACGCGUGGGUAAUCUGCUCUGUACACACGGAUAACAUACCGAAAGGUAUGCUAAUACGAGAUAAUAUACUUUUAUCGCAUGGUAGAAGUAUCAAAGCUCCGGCGGUACAGGAUGGACCCGCGUCUGAUUAGCUAGUUGGUAAGGUAACGGCUUACCAAGGCGACGAUCAGUAGCCGACCUGAGAGGGUGAUCGGCCACAUUGGAACAGAGACACGGUCCAAACUCCUACGGGAGGCAGCAGUGGGGAAUAUUGCACAAUGGGCGAAAGCCUGAUGCAGCAACGCCGCGUGAGCGAUGAAGGCCUUCGGGUCGUAAAGCUCUGUCCUCAAGGAAGAUAAUGACGGUACUUGAGGAGGAAGCCCCGGCUAACUACGUGCCAGCAGCCGCAGUAA